rnacentral:misc_RNA from 1 species
GUUUUUUUGCGCGUUAUGCACAUAGACAUUCCAUUACAUUCAGAGUGUGUAAAAAUACUCCAAGAUCCAGGCCAACCAAAGUCAACCAGCUGCAAGUUUGUACAAGCGAAUCUCAGAGUCAAAGGUUCACAGGUGUGUGGAUUUGCGAUCAACGUGCACAUGUGUUUCCACCAGCACAGAUGACCGACUUGUAAUUCAUUAAUGAUCCUUCCGCAGGUUCACCUACGGAAA